UGGUUUCAUAUUCAGGUGGACAAAGGACAAGUGAUAAAAUCCAAGAAUAUCCACAGAUCACUGCCCAAAGCGGAAGACUGAUUGAAAAGAGAUCCUAAUAGAGUUUCUGAAAUACUUUGGAAAAGUCUCCCAAACCUUCAGAGAGUGGAUGGGAGCGAAGUAAGGAGACCCCACCUGAGCAGAUACAUGCUCAGAGAAGAAACGAUCUAGCCCUGCUAUUUCAGAUCUUUCACAGAUCCUUAAGUCUCAAGAUGAAUCAGCAUUUUUAGAGAGUUCAAAUGAAGUUUCAGUUGCUGAAAACCAAUCCUAUAAAUCUCCAUCAGAGACCCAUGAUAAAUCACUUACAACAGUAUCAUCCAGCAAAGAAGUUCAAGAUUCACUGUCUGUUGGAACAUUGGCUCAAAAAAAUGAAACAGUGAUAUCACCAUUCAUUUUACCUCCUGUUCUUACAGAAAGUAAAAAGGCUGAUGUUUCAGAAGAACAAUUACAAAAGAUGACUGAAGAACAAACUUACCAAGCAGCAGAAAAAUCUCAAGAAUUCCCUUUAUUGGACGUGAAGGACCUCUUCAAGGAGAACUACAAACCACUGCUCAAGGAAAUAAAAGAGGAUACAAACAAAUGGAAGAACAUUCCAUGCUUAUGGGUAGGAAGAAUCAAUAUCGUGAAAAUGGCCAUACUGCCCAAGCUCAUAAUGAAGUACCAAAUGAAAGGCUUGUAGCUGAGCAUCAAGAAUCAUUGUCAAAAACCAAAUUACAAGUAAAGAAACAAGAAACUUCUACAGAGCAACCACUCACCACUCCUGAUAAAGAACCAAAUGAAAAUCUUAUACUUAGGCAUCAAGACUCAAUGUCAAAAUCAGAAAUGCAAGUGAAGGAACAAAGAACUCUCAAAGGGCAAAGAAUUAUUACUCAUGAUGAAGAACCAGGCAAAAAUCUUGUGCUUGAACAUCAAGAUUCAGUGUCAAAACUGGAAAUGCAAAUUGAAAAAACCAAAAAACUUCCUAGAGAGAAAAGACAUAGUACUCAUGAUGAAGAAUCAGGUGAAAAUCCUAUGCUUAAACAUCAAGAUUCAGUGUCAAAAAUCCAAGUGCAAUUAGAGAUUCAAGAAACUUCUGAAGGAGAAGGACGUAGCAUACCAGAUAAAAAUUCUAUGUUUGUUCAUCAAGAUUCAGUGUCAAAACUCCAGAUGCAAGAAAAGAAAAAAAUAACUCCUGGAAGGGAAAGGCGUAAUACUCGUAUUGUAGUACCAAAUGAAAAUGUGAUUUCUGUUCAUCAAGAUUCAAAGUCAAAACUCCAAAUGCAAGAAAAGAAACAAAUAAAUUCUGGAGUGGAAAGACACAAGACGUUUCCUUUAGAAAUCCAAAAAAAGGAUAUAUCACUUGAACAUCUGUUGCCUGAGGAGAAAGUUUUAUUAUCAAGAAGCGAAUCUCAAACCAAGAAACUUCAAGCUAAAGUAACUUCAAGAAAAAUUAAAAAUGAAGCAGCCUCAGAACUUCCAGAUACAGCAGAAAAUCUUCCAGCAGUGUACCCAUCAAUUAGCGACCUAAUAAUUCAAUUUGAUUUAAACAAAGUGGUCGAGACUGUCUUAAAACACUUGAAAGGUGUUAAUGGAAAAGAUAUAAUAAAGCAUCUAAUCAACAUACAGUCAAAUAGUCAUGCAGAGACUGAUAAGAACUUCUUUGCCUAUGCUACUGGAAGAGGUCUAAUGAAGGAGUCAACCACGACACAAUUAAAAAGGCACCCAGAUACUGAUAAGGAAUUCUUGGCAGAUGCUAUUGGAAGAGGUAUAAUAAUAGGGCCAAUCACUAUACAACUGAAGAGUCACCGAGAGACUGAUAAAGAACUCUUAAAAGAUGCUAUUGGAAGAGAUAUAAUAAAGGGACCAAUCAGUGCACAAUUAAAGAGUCACCAGGAGACUGAUGUAGAACCCUUGACAAAUGCCAUUGGUUCAAGUAAAACAAUUGGUGAGAUAAAGACACAACUAAGGACUCACUAUGAUGUGAACUUAUUUAAAAACAAAGAUAUGUCCGUACAACGUCAAGAAGGUAUCUUUACUAGGAGAAUUACACCAAGUAAAUUCCCAACAAAAGUGAUCAAUUUAUCACCCUUUGAAAAUAAAGAGGAAACUUAUGAGUACUCUUCACCCUAUGUGACUGCACCUUCAAAAGCAAUUUAUAGAACAUAUAGGGCUGGUCCAAGCUUUUCUAAAGACAUCCACCUUCCUUUACUGAAUCAACUCCCUUCAGGGCAUUCGAAAGUUGUUACCUUAAGCCAAAAAACUAUUGAAUUUACUCUGCCUACUGUGACCAAUACAAUUGGAAAACCUACCUAUAAAGUGUUACAUGCUGCUGCCCGAAAAUCUGUACCACACCCAUACUUUUGAGAAUGAAGGAAAUUCUGAGCAAGAUAAGCAACAUGACAAAUUCAGAAAUGCAGGAAAGGAAAUUGCAAGUAUAGAAGCCUUUUGAAAAUAAUACUGACUCGUGUGGAUGGUGCUUCUUGAAAAACAGCUGGAAAUACAGUGGAUCAACAGGGUAGGCCCA
rnacentral:sRNA from 1 species